GCGGGUGUCGUAUAGUGGCUAUUACAUCAGCCUUCCAAGCUGACGAGGGGGGUUCGAUUCCCCCUACCCGCU
rnacentral:tRNA from 1 species